GAGUUUGAUCCUGGCUCAGAAUGAACGCUGGCGGCGUGCUUUACACAUGCAAGUCGAGCGAGGCGUGUAGCAAUACACAGUCGAGCGGCGAACGGGUGAGUAACGCGUGGAUUAUCUGCCCUGAGGUGGGGGAUAACCCGGGGAAACUCGGGCUAAUACCGCAUAGGACCGUGAGGUCAAAGGGGGGUCGCAAGAUCUCUCGCCAUAGGAGGAGUCCGCGUCCGAUUAGCUAGUUGGUAGGGUAAUGGCCUACCAAGGCGACGAUCGGUAGCCGGCCUGAGAGGGUGAUCGGCCACACUGGAACUGAGACACGGUCCAGACUCCUACGGGAGGCAGCAGUGGGGAAUUUUGCGCAAUGGGCUAACGCCUGACGCAGCAACGCCGCGUGGAGGAUGAAGGUCCUUGGAUUGUAAACUCCUGUCAGCAGGGAAAAAGCAACCUGACCUCAUACGUCAGGAAGUUGAUUGUACCUGCAGAGGAAGCCCCGGCUAACUCUGUGCCAGCCGCCGCCGUAAC
rnacentral:rRNA from 1 species